UGUGAACAACCAGCAUUUUUAUUGCAUUUGAGAACGCUCUCAUGUCAGUCACUAGUACUGACUACACAACAUUUUUUUUUUUUUUUUAUUGUCUGUAUCCACAGACAUGGAAUGAUGGAAUUACAGUUGAUGUCAAGGAAUGAGAUUCUUUUAUGCCUUAUCAAAACAAAACAAAACAAAACAAUCCUUGUUAGUGGCAGCACAUAAACAUAGAGCACCACGCUCACAACCCAGACCGCACCAUCUCCACCCAGGCUCCUGGGUAGCAGGGACUGCAUCGAGUUACAGUGGACCCACGAGACGCCAUUAGAAUUGUCCAUUUGCUUCUCAGGAUAAUUAAAGUGAAACCGAGUUGCAAAACACUUCCAGACUGUCAGGAGGGUAUGGCAUUGACCAAAGGGUACCAAAAAGAUUCAAAGUCAUUAGCAGAGUCUGCUUUAUGCCCUUGGAGACAGAGCUUAGCUAGAAUGUGGAAAAAGAGGAGACUUUUCAAUGCGAUUUCAUGUGACGUUAAAAAAUAAGAGCUAGUGAUUUACAUUACAUUUUGGUUCUAUUAUUUUGUUUAUCUUUUAAACCAAAGCUUGCUUUAUUAUGGCUGACGGGAUGCUGGGAAUGUCAAGUCAACUGUCUUCUGAUGUGGGGAGGGCACUGGCAGCUAGGUCACCAUGUACAUAAGUCUUGAUGGAUCACCCUUUGGUGCCCCAAUACGGCAGCCUAAGCCUUUUCACAUGGAUAGACCCUAGGAACAACAAAGAUGGAUCAUCAUCAUGACUGAGUGUGUCUGACACAUGGGCCAACCUCCCUCAUGUUUGCUUGGCUUUUACUAAGAAAAAAAAAAAAAAGAAAAGAGAAAGAAAAAGUAACAAAUUGUCUUUACACCUUGGGACCUUGUAAAUUUUUUUAUACAAAAAUUUCAAUAUUUUUCAACACUUCCCAUUAUUAAUCACUACUUUACUGAUAAAACUUUGAAAGUGUGACCUUGGAAUUUCAUCAUGCAAAAAUAUUGACUGCAGCAGGAGAGAACUUUUUUUUAAAACAACUUUUUUUUUUUCUCUUUUCAAACUUAGGAACUUGUUUAAGAUAAUCAAAAAGGCAGUGGCAGGAUAAACACAAGGAACAGGAAUGUAUCAAAAACAGAUCCACACACACAUACACUCACACACCCGUUCACACACACCCGUACACACACACACACACACACACACACACACACACACACACACACACACACACACACACACACACACACACACACA
rnacentral:lncRNA from 1 species